GGCGGACGGGUGAGUAACGCGUGGAGAACCUGCCCUGUACAGGGGGACUAACAACCAGAAAUGGCUGCUAAAACCGCAUAAGCGCACAGUACCGCGAUGGUACAGUGUGAAAAACUCCGGUGGUACAGGAUGGCUCCGCGUUGGAUUAGCCAGUUGGCGGGGUAACGGCCCACCAAAGCGACGAUCCAUAGCCGGCCUGAGAGGGUGGACGGCCACAUUGGGACUGAGACACGGCCCAGACUCCUACGGGAGGCAGCAGUGGGGAAUAUUGCACAAUGGGGGAAACCCUGAUGCAGCGACGCCGCGUGAAGGAAGAAGUAUCUCGGUAUGUAAACUUCUAUCAGCAGGGAAGAAAAUGACGGUACCUGACUAAGAAGCCCCGGCUAACUACGUGCCAGCCGCCGC
rnacentral:rRNA from 1 species